GCUGUGUCCAGGAACACGAGUGAAACUCACUUUCGUGUAACUGCGCAUUCGCCAUCGCAGCCUACGGUGACUGCGAUUGGCUCGUUUGGUACCGACGUUUUCUCCUACACGUGUCACGCUCGUGUAAAUGAACCGUAACAUCACGGAGACUGGACCCUGUGGUGGAGGAGAAGGUUAAGCUGAUGGUUCAUGAAGAUUUCGGAUGAGAUUCGCUGGACGGCCUGGAUGACAGGCAGCCUGAGAGGGGGAACACAGUGAAGCUGAUUGGCUCAGAGAACUCAGGCAGAGAGUUUAUUGGUUAAAAAAAGUGUCGUAAUAAAGCAGAACAGAACUAACGAAGCAAAGCUGGAAUGAUGGCAGAAGAGAUCUUCCUCAUUGAGCUUAAUUAAAAUCUUCAUCUCUAUGUGAGGCUCGUGGCACCACGCCUGCAAAGGUGGAUGUUUCAGUCUGUAAACCUGGAAAAAACGCCGGCCGAUAAAUAAUCCCAUUUCAUUUUGGAAAUAUUUCACAAAGCAGCGUGAAACUCUGCUGCUCAUCAUUUUUUUCCAUAAUUAUCUUUAUUUGAGCUGAAAGACUCGAUCAGAUCAGAGCGAGGAUAAGCAAAGGUUGCUUGACUCUGAAACUUCAAAAUAAAAGCCUGUCAUUUAGCUUUGAUUCUUUGAGGGAGUAAAAGAUUUGAAAUGGAGCUUAUAGGUUUCAUCUGAUGCUGUUUUAGAUUUUCUGUGUGUGUUUGAGCCGUGAAGGCUGUGAAUACCUUUGAGUCACAGUAAUCCACCUGCAUGAGGGCCGUCUGUCCGUCUGUCAGCUUAAAUCCUGCUCAGCUCCAGUUUCAGCAACAUGUUCACUCGAUCACACUCUUCAGCACUUCAGCAGUGCGACCAGGUUCAGAUCAGAAAUAACUGAAAGGAAGGUCUGAUGUGUUCUUUUUGCACUUUAUCUUUCAGGACACGGUUAUCUCAGCCCACAGCAGCAGGCUGAAAAACCAUCUGAGAUAAUGUGAGUGUGAAAUCCUGGAUAUCAAACAUUUGUUCAUGUUUGAACUUCACUGUUGAAUCAUGUAGGUGCACAUCUGCAACCCAACGGCUCCUCGACAACACGAACAUCGGUGAUGCAAACUCUGCGUCUCUCACAUCCUGGAUCAAAGACAUGACAGCCAACACUGAGGAGGUCAAAGGCCUACCUACGUUCACUCUCACACUCCAGUGGAGGCAUCAGGGGUCACUCGAGGUUCAGCGUUUUGCCCAAGGACACUUUGCACACAACCCACUCGACCCUCUGAUCCCCCUCUGCCCCCAAAGCACAACAACCAAUGACAGCAAGCAUAACUCGGAAUAAAGGUGGAAAAAUGCUAACAAGGCAAACUUUGCUGUGUGUGGAUGCUAUUUCAAAUUUACUGAUUUAAUUUAAACUCAGACCACUGAAAAAGUGUAAUAUUGAUCUCAUUCACUGAGUUUGUUCUUAAAUUUCACUUUUAACAGUGUAAAAAAACAAGCGUUAAACUUAACCACAGGUAUGAGAUAUGUGGAUAUAAAAGGAAAAAUAACAAUACUGUAAAUCUACUGUGAUCCGGAGAUGGCUCAGGCUAAAUGCUGGACUAUCAUAAUAUCACUAUUACGAUUAUUGUGGCAAAAAUAAUUCAUGAUAAAUGUAUUUUUACAAUAUCACAAUAAUUAAAACAUAUAAACUGCUUUGUUGUGUUGUGUCUCGUUUUGUGUUGUUUGUAACAAAAAAGAAAAAAUUACAUGUUAUUACUG
ensembl:lncRNA